AUUGAACGCUGGCGGCAGGCUUAACACAUGCAAGUCGAACGGGCACUUCGGUGUCAGUGGCAGACGGGUGAGUAACACGUGGGAACGUACCUUUUGGUUCGGAACAACUGAGGGAAACUUCAGCUAAUACCGGAUAAGCCCUUACGGGGAAAGAUUUAUCGCCGAAAGAUCGGCCCGCGUCUGAUUAGCUAGUUGGUAGGGUAAUGGCCUACCAAGGCGACGAUCAGUAGCUGGUCUGAGAGGAUGAUCAGCCACAUUGGGACUGAGACACGGCCCAAACUCCUACGGGAGGCAGCAGUGGGGAAUAUUGGACAAUGGGGGCAACCCUGAUCCAGCCAUGCCGCGUGAGUGAUGAAGGCCCUAGGGUUGUAAAGCUCUUUUGUACGGGAAGAUAAUGACGGUACCGUAAGAAUAAGCCCCGGCUAACUUCGUGCCAGCCGCCGCCGUAA
rnacentral:rRNA from 1 species